rnacentral:rRNA from 1 species
AACGAACGCUGGCGGCAUGCCUAACACAUGCAAGUCGAACGAGACCUUCGGGUCUUGUGGCGCACGGGUGCGUAACGCGUGGGAACCUGCCCUUAGGUUCGGCAUAACUCUCCGAAAGGGGUGCUAAUACCGGAUCAUGUCUUCGGCCCAAAGAUUUAUCGCCUUUGGUUGGGCCCGCGUUGGAUUAGCUAGUUGGUAGGGUAAUAGACUACCACGGCGACGAUGCAUAGCUGGGCAGAGAGGCUGAUCAGCGACACUGGGACUGAGCCCCGGCCCAGACUCCUACGGGAGGGAGCAGUGGGGAAUAUAGGACAAUGGGGGGAGGCCUGAUGCAGCAAGGCCGCGAGAGUGAUGAAGGCAGGAGGGUUGUAAAGCGCUUGUACCCGGGAUGAUAAUGACGGUACCGGGAGAAUAAGCCCCGGCUAACUCCGUG